UAGGGAAUAUUGCACAAUGGGGGAAACCCUGAUGCAGCGACGCCGCGUGAGUGAUGAAGGCCUUCGGGUCGUAAAGCUCUGUUGUACGGGAAGAAAUGCUCAUGACUAAUACUCAUGAGUUUUGACGGUACCGUAUCAGAAAGGACCGGCUAACUUCGUGCCAGCAGCCGCGGUAAGACGAGGGGUCCUAGCGUUGUUCGGAAUCACUGGGCGUAAAGCGUAUGUAGGCGGGCUUUUAAGUCAGGUGUGAAAUCCCAUGGCUCAACCAUGGAAUUGCAUUUGAAACUGGAAGUCUUGAGUGUGGGAGAGAUUGGUAGAAUACCUGGUGUAGUGGUGAAAUACGUAGAUAUCAGGUGGAAUACCGGUGGCGAAGGCGGCCAAUUGGCCCAACACUGACGCUGAGAUACGAAAGCGUGGGGAUCAAACAGG
rnacentral:rRNA from 1 species